rnacentral:tRNA from 1 species
GCCUCCGUAGCAUAGUAGCUAUUGCGCCACCUUGGUAAGGUGGAGGUCACGGGUGCAACUCCCGUCGGAGGCU